UUCCCGCAAUUGGCGCAGGAGAAUGGGC
rnacentral:sRNA from 1 species